GAUGAACGCUGGCGGCGUGCCUAACACAUGCAAGUCGAGCGAUUCUCUUCGGAGAAGAGCGGCGGACGGGUGAGUAACGCGGGGGUAACCUGCCCUGUACACACGGAUAACAUACCGAAAGGUAUGCUAAUACGAGAUAAUAUGCUUUUAUCGCAUGGUAGAAGUAUCAAAGCUUUUGCGGUACAGGAUGGACCCGCGUCUGAUUAGCUAGUUGGUAAGGUAACGGCUUACCAAGGCGACGAUCAGUAGCCGACCUGAGAGGGUGAUCGGCCACAUUGGAACUGAGACACGGUCCAAACUCCUACGCGAGGGAGCAGUGGGGAAUAUUGCACAAGGGGCGAAAGCCUGAUGCAGCAACGCCGCGUGAGCGAUGAAGGCCUUCGGGUCGUAAAGUUCUGUCCUCAAGGAAGAUAAUGACGGUACUUGAGGAGGAAGCCCCGGCUAACUACGUG
rnacentral:rRNA from 1 species